rnacentral:rRNA from 1 species
UGGGGAAUAUUGGAAAAUGGGCGAAAGCCUGAUCCAGCCAUGCCGCGUGUGUGAAGAAGGUCUUCGGAUUGUAAAGCACUUUAAGUUGGGAGGAAGGGCAUUAACCUAAUACGUUAGUGUUUUGACGUUACCGACAGAAUAAGCACCGGCUAACUCUGUGCCAGCAGCCGCGGUAAUACAGAGGGUGCAAGCGUUAAUCGGAAUUACUGGGCGUAAAGCGCGCGUAGGUGGUUUGUUAAGUUGGAUGUGAAAUCCCCGGGCUCAACCUGGGAACUGCAUUCAAAACUGACUGACUAGAGUAUGGUAGAGGGUGGUGGAAUUUCCUGUGUAGCGGUGAAAUGCGUAGAUAUAGGAAGGAACACCAGUGGCGAAGGCGACCACCUGGACUAAUACUGACACUGAGGUGCGAAAGCGUGGGGAGCAAACA